rnacentral:rRNA from 1 species
AGAUUGAUCCUGGCUCAGAUUGAACGCUGGCGGCAGGCUUAACACAUGCAAGUCGAGCGGAAACGAUGAUAGCUUGCUAUCAGGCGUCGAGCGGCGGACGGGUGAGUAAUACUUAGGAAUCUACCUAGUAGUGGGGGAUAGCACGGGGAAACUCGUAUUAAUACCGCAUACGACCUACGGGAGAAAGGGGGCAGUUUACUGCUCUCGCUAUUAGAUGAGCCUAAGUCGGAUUAGCUAGAUGGUGGGGUAAAGGCCUACCAUGGCGACGAUCUGUAGCUGGUCUGAGAGGAUGAUCAGCCACACCGGGACU